UGAGAGCGCGGACCCCCACACUGGCACUGAGAUACGGGCCAGACUCCUACGGGAGGCAGCAGUAAGGGAUAUUGCGCAAUGGACGAAAGUCAGACGCAGCGACGCCGCGUGGGCGAUGAAUGCCUUCGGGGUUGUAAAGCCCUUUUAUGGGGGAAGAGAACAAGGACGGUACCCCAGGUAUAAGUCCCGGCUAACUACGUGCCAGCAGCCGCGGUAAAACGUAGGGGACAAGCGUUAUCCGGAUUCACUGGGCGUAAAGAGCGUUGAGGCGGUUCCGUAAGUUGGGCGUGAAAGCUCCGGGCUUAACUCGGAGAUGUCGUUCAAUACUGCGGGGCUUGAGGACAGCAGAGGAAGGUGGAAUUCCCGGUGUAGUGGUGAAAUGCGUAGAUAUCGGGAGGAACACCCGUGGCGAAGGCGGCCUUCUGGGCUGUUCCUGACGCUGAAGGCGAAAGCUAGGGGAGCGAACGGGAUUAGAUACCCCGGUAGUCCUAGCUGUAAACGAUGGAUGCUGGGUGUGGGGGGUGUAAAUUCCCUCUGUGCCGAAGCAAACGCGUUAAGCAUCCCGCCUGGGGACUACGGCCGCAAGGCUAAAACUCAAACGAAUUGACGGGGGCCCGCACAAGCAGCGGAGCGUGUGGUUUAAUUCGAUGCUACACGAAGAACCUUACCUGGGUUUGACAUGCACGUGGUAGGGAACCGAAAGGGGACCGACCUUCGGGAGCGUGCACAGGUGCUGCAUGGCUGUCGUCAGCUCGUGCCGUGAGGUGUCGGGUUAAGUCCCGUAACGAGCGCAACCCUUGCCCUUAGUUACAAGUGUCUAAGGGGACUGCCCGGGACAACUGGGAGGAAGGUGGGGAUGACGUCAAGUCAGCAUGGCCUUUAUAUCCAGGGCUACACACACGCUACAAUGGCCGGUACAAUAGGUUGCGAAGUCGUGAGGCGGAGCCAAUCCUCAAAGCCGGUCUCAGUUCGAAUUGCAGUCUGCAACUCGACUGCAUGAAGCUGGAGUUGCUAGUAAUCGCAGGUCAGCUAUACUGCGGUGAUACGUUCCCGGGCCUUGUACACACCGCCCGUCACGUCAUGGAAGCUGGCAACGCCUGAAGCCGGUGAGCUAACCCGAAAG
rnacentral:rRNA from 1 species